GUGGGGAAUCUUAGACAAUGGGGGAAACCCUGAUCUAGCCAUGCCGCGUGAGCGAUGAAGGCCUUAGGGUUGUAAAGCUCUUUCAGCUGGGAAGAUAAUGACGGUACCAGCAGAAGAAGCCCCGGCUAACUCCGUGCCAGCAGCCGCGGUAAUACGGAGGGGGCUAGCGUUGUUCGGAAUUACUGGGCGUAAAGCGCGCGUAGGCGGACCAGAAAGUUGGAGGUGAAAUCCCAGGGCUCAACCUUGGAACUGCCUUCAAAACUCCUGGUCUGGAGUUCGAGAGAGGUGAGUGGAAUUCCGAGUGUAGAGGUGAAAUUCGUAGAUAUUCGGAGGAACACCAGUGGCGAAGGCGGCUCACUGGCUCGAUACUGACGCUGAGGUGCGAAAGCGUGGGGAGCAAAAAGGAUUAGAAACCCUAGUAGUCC
rnacentral:rRNA from 1 species